rnacentral:tRNA from 4 species
GGCGAAGUAGCCAAGUGGUAAGGCGUGGGUCUGCAACACCCUGAUCACCGGUUCGAACCCGGUCUUCGCCU